UAGGGAAUUUUGCGCAAUGGGCGAAAGCCUGACGCAGCAACACCGCGUGUGGGAUGAAGCUUUUCGGAGUGUAAACCACUGUCAGUGGGGACGAAUCAAUGACGGUACCCACAAAGGAAGCACCGGCUAACUCCGUGCCAGCAGCCGCGGUAAUACGGAGGGUGCAAGCGUUGUCCGGAAUUAUUGGGCGUAAAGCGUUCGUAGGCGGCAUGCCAAGUCUGAUGUUAAAGCCCGGAGCUCAACUCCGGUUGGGCAUUGGAUACUGGCAAGCUAGAGUGCAGGAGAGGCAAGGGGAAUUCCCAGUGUAGCGGUGAAAUGCGUAGAUAUUGGGAGGAACACCAGUUGCGAAAGCGCCUUGCUGGACUGUUACUGACGCUGAGGGACGAAAGCCAGGGUAGCGAAUG
rnacentral:rRNA from 1 species